GAUUAUGGCUCAGGAUGAACGCUAGCGGCAGGCUUAACACAUGCAAGUCGAGGGGCAACGCGAGUAGCAAUACUUGGCGGCGACCGGCGCAAGGGUGCGUAACGCGUGAGCAACAUGCCCGUAUCAGGGGGAUAAUCCAGGGAAACUUGGUCUAAUACCCCAUAGUAAUUUUUGUAAGGCAUCUUAUAAGAUUUAAAGCUUUGGUGGAUACGGAUUGGCUCGCGUGACAUUAGCUGGAUGGUAAGGUAACGGCUUACCAUGGCUAUGAUGUCUAGGGGUUCUGAGAGGAAGGUCCCCCACACUGGAACUGAGACACGGUCCAGACUCCUACGGGAGGCAGCAGUGAGGAAUAUUGGACAAUGGAUGGAAAUCUGAUCCAGCCAUGCCGCGUGAAGGAAGAAGGUCCUAUGGAUUGUAAACUUCUUUUGUAUGGGAGCAAUAAGGCCUACGAGUAGGCUGAUGAGAGUACCAUACGAAUAAGCACCGGCUAACUCCGUGCCAGCCGCGGC
rnacentral:rRNA from 1 species